rnacentral:rRNA from 1 species
UAAUUGAAGAGUUUGAUCAUGGCUCAGAUUGAACGCUGGCGGCAGGCCUAACACAUGCAAGUCGAGCGGCAGCGGGAGGAAGCUUGCUUCCUCGCCGGCGAGCGGCGGACGGGUGAGUAAUGUCUGGGGAUCUGCCCGAUGGAGGGGGAUAACCACUGGAAACGGUGGCUAAUACCGCAUAACGUCGCAAGACCAAAGUGGGGGACCUUCGGGCCUCACACCAUCGGAUGAACCCAGAUGGGAUUAGCUAGUAGGUGGGGUAAUGGCUCACCUAGGCGACGAUCCCUAGCUGGUCUGAGAGGAUGACCAGCCACACUGGAACUGAGACACGGUCCAGACUCCUACGGGAGGCAGCAGUGGGGAAUAUUGCACAAUGGGCGCAAGCCUGAUGCAGCCAUGCCGCGUGUGUGAAGAAGGCCUUCGGGUUGUAAAGCACUUUCAGCGAGGAGGAAGGUGGUGAACUUAAUACGUUCAUCAAUUGACGUUACUCGCAGAAGAAGCACCGGCUAACUCCGUGCCAGCAGCCGCGGUAAUACGGAGGGUGCAAGCGUUAAUCGGAAUUACUGGGCGUAAAGCGCACGCAGGCGGUUUGUUAAGUCAGAUGUGAAAUCCCCGAGCUUAACUUGGGAACUGCAUUUGAAACUGGCAAGCUAGAGUCUCGUAGAGGGGGGUAGAAUUCCAGGUGUAGCGGUGAAAUGCGUAGAGAUCUGGAGGAAUACCGGUGGCGAAGGCGGCCCCCUGGACGAAGACUGACGCUCAGGUGCGAAAGCGUGGGGAGCAAACAGGAUUAGAUACCCUGGUAGUCCACGCCGUAAACGAUGUCGAUUUGGAGGUUGUGCCCUUGAGGCGUGGCUUCCGGAGCUAACGCGUUAAAUCGACCGCCUGGGGAGUACGGCCGCAAGGUUAAAACUCAAAUGAAUUGACGGGGGCCCGCACAAGCGGUGGAGCAUGUGGUUUAAUUCGAUGCAACGCGAAGAACCUUACCUACUCUUGACAUCCAGAGAACUUUCCAGAGAUGGAUUGGUGCCUUCGGGAACUCUGAGACAGGUGCUGCAUGGCUGUCGUCAGCUCGUGUUGUGAAAUGUUGGGUUAAGUCCCGCAACGAGCGCAACCCUUAUCCUUUGUUGCCAGCGAUUCGGUCGGGAACUCAAAGGAGACUGCCAGUGAUAAACUGGAGGAAGGUGGGGAUGACGUCAAGUCAUCAUGGCCCUUACGAGUAGGGCUACACACGUGCUACAAUGGCGUAUACAAAGAGAAGCGAACCUGCGAAGGCAAGCGGACCUCAUAAAGUACGUCGUAGUCCGGAUUGGAGUCUGCAACUCGACUCCAUGAAGUCGGAAUCGCUAGUAAUCGUAGAUCAGAAUGCUACGGUGAAUACGUUCCCGGGCCUUGUACACACCGCCCGUCACACCAUGGGAGUGGGUUGCAAAAGAAGUAGGUAGCUUAACCUUCGGGAGGGCGCUUACCACUUUGUGAUUCAUGACUGGGGUGAAGUCGUAACAAGGUAACCGUAGGGGAACCUGCGGUUGGAUCACCUCCUUA